rnacentral:lncRNA from 1 species
AUGAUAUGGAGAAUGUCAUCGAGAUGUUCAUUUCCAAGCCCACUGGACGCCGUGUUUUUUCGAUCAUACAGUAUUAUUAUACACAUAAAUAAUAAUAUUAUACACAUAAACAUCCCUUGAUAAAGAUCAACAUUUUGUAGAGCAAUAACAGCAUCAAAUAAUGGAAAUAAUGGACCCUACUGCUCAAAUCAAAAACAAAAUUUCAGCAUUACCACUUUAUUGGUUAUAUCAAUAAAAGAAAUUAUUGAGUUUAUGAGUCUAGAUCCUACAAGCAAGCAGAUCUAUCACAUAAUUUUAAAUGAAGAUUUAUCUAUUAUAGUAAUUUAUUCUGAUGAGGUUUAUGAAUAUUAAAGUCUGUUGAAGUUUGGCCAUUAUGUGUUGAUAUUUGGUAUACAAUUUAUUUAUGAUGUUACAGUAGUUAAACCAUCCGAGUACGAAACAUGUUUAAAAUCCACUAUUCUUAACGAAUGGCAACUACCAACUUGAGAGGAAGCUAAGAGGAAGGUUCUAUUGGGUGGACUACAAGGAAAAGGGACAUAUACAUGAGGAUCUGGAAGGGAACUAACAUUACGUCUCAAGCCAUGGGACAAUAGGAAACGAAAUUCAAAGGAAAAUAUUACAAUACGUUGGAUGCAAAUUAUAGUGCAAAGAAUUGAGAAAAAGAAUUAUUAAAAGUAGUUAUUGUUACGAUAGUUAAACCAUCCGACUACCAAAUAUAUUUAAAAUCCACUAUUCUGAAUGAAUAGCAACUACCAACUUGAGAGGAAGCUGCGAGAACGAUUCUAUUGGGUGAACUACAAGGAAGACAUGAGCAUCUGGAAGGGCUAUAAAAUUAUAUUAUUUCACGUUUCAAGCCAUGUUGGAAUAGCUGGGAGUGAAAAAGAA